AGCGAACGCUGGCGGCAGGCUUAACACAUGCAAGUCGAGCGGGCAUCUUCGGAUGUCAGCGGCAGACGGGUGAGUAACACGUGGGAACGUACCCUUCGGUUCGGAACAACUCUGGGAAACUGGAGCUAAUACCGGAUACGCCCUUAUGGUGAAAGGUUUACUGCCGAAGGAUCGGCCCGCGUCUGAUUAGCUAGUUGGUGGGGUAACGGCCUACCAAGGCGACGAUCAGUAGCUGGUCUGAGAGGAUGAUCAGCCACACUGGGACUGAGACACGGCCCAGACUCCUACGGGAGGCAGCAGUGGGGAAUAUUGGACAAUGGGCGCAAGCCUGAUCCAGCCAUGCCGCGUGAGUGAUGAAGGCCUUAGGGUUGUAAAGCUCUUUUGUCCGGGACGAUAAUGACGGUACCGGAAGAAUAAGCCCCGGCUAACUUCGUG
rnacentral:rRNA from 1 species